GUGAAAAUGUUCCCAGAUAGCACACGUACGUCGCGGAGAUGUCUGCGCGAUGUCUUGUUUUUCGUCUGGAAGACGUAUUAUUUAGGGCGUUUGCUCAUCUGGAAGGCGUCGCCGAGACGUCCGACCCAGCUGUUUGCAAGACACCCAGCAGAUCUUUACAAGAUGUAUGUUAUUUAGAACGAUGGCGAGCCGCCGUUUCCCAGAUCUUUACAAGAUGUUAGAACGGCAAGCCGCUCUUUCACAGAUCUUUAGCAGAGCUUUAAAAGAUGCGGAGCCGCUCUUUCCCAGAUCUUAAGAAGAGCUUUAAAAGAUGCGGAGCCGCUCUUUCCCAGAUCUUAAGAAGAGCUUUAAAAGAUGCGGAGCCGCUCUUUCCCAGAUCUUAAGAAGAGCUUUAAAAGAUGCGGAGCCGCUCUUUCCCAGAUCUUUAGAAGAGCUUAGAAAGACGGUAAGCCGCUCUUUCCCAGAUGUUUGUAAGAUUACAAGAUCCCUCAUUAACAAAUUGAAUUGCCCUAAACUACAGCAAAUUAUUUCUACACACAUCUACACAUGCAAGCUGUGUCAUCGAUAUUAAGUAAUUAAAACAGCAUUUUCAAUUGAUCUUAAAACAGGCAGUUGUUGAUUUUAUAAAACACAUUUAUUCAAAUUAAACAAUGAAAACUUUCAUUCAUUUAUCUUUAAAUAUAUUUUUUACAUGACAGUAUGCGAAAACAACAACAUAAACAUAACAUAUUUAAAAUAAUCAAAACCUUUCCUCGUCUGCUUUAUUAAUCUCCAUUCUAAAAUAAAACAUUUCAAAAACUUACCAGGAAAUAAUCGUGAUAGGCUGCUCUUUCUUUAUAGCUUUAAUUAGGAUCUAGAAGAUAAAAUUACCCGAAAGUGUUAUCAUUGUUAAAUAAAUUACGGAUGUGCGUCUUUACGUCAAGGUCGUGAUUCUACAUAACAACAUCCGCUUGACCUCGCAACGUCAAGAAGAAGAAAGGCGUGGAACACAUGCUUAAGCCUGUCAAGAUCCUUCAGAUGAUGUUUGAGAAAAAAGUCAUCAUCCUCUUCGUCACUCUUCAUCCGUAUUUGGGGUAACAAACACCUGCUUCCCACAAGAGACUGGACCGCUGAAGUCAGGUGACCUGCACCUUCCUUGAACAUGUUGGUAACUUACUCUGUAUUUGUUCACGGUGGUCACCCCAGGGUCUCAGGACUCAAAACGAGUGCUCUAUGGAUUAAACAGAAAAUGUGGAUCAACACUCCAACCAUCUGCAUUAGGGACUGAAUAAAGCAUGCCCUCUGUAGCUGGGAAUGUUAGAUCAGGCGGAUCAACAUUCCAUCCAUCUGCAUUAGGAUCUACCUUAGAGACACUCACUGGAGCUGUAAAGGGAAGCAGGUCACUUACUUUUCAUUCGUCCUUGUUGGUCACCCCAGGGUCUCUUAGAGUGAAAAUUACUCAAUCUAUGGAUUAAACAGAAAAUGUAGUUUUAUGAAGUGCAAUUUGGGACAUUCUUCCAGUUGUCGGCAACUUUGUGAAAAAGGCUGGAAACUAAAAUGCAGAAUUCUGGCCUGGUGUUUGGUCCGUGCUGUCUUUGGCUCUUGCAUCUCCAUCAUCCUGACCCUCUUUAGCAGCCUGUCCAUGUAUUUAUUUGGAGGCCACCAUGAGCACCCAUCUGCAUAAUAUGACUUUGUUACUCAGUUGUCCAUGCUCCUACAAAUUCUACAUUUUUUGUAAAGCUGCAACAAGUUGAAACCCUAUAAUUAUUAACAUUUGAUUUUGAAUGAUGUAAUUCAAAUACAUGAAUAAGUAACAAAAGCAGAAAUAUAUUAAUUAAGACAUUACCUUUUUGUUGAUUGUUUACUGAUCUAUAAAUCAUUUUGCAUUCUCAUAAUUGAUCAUCAUAACUUGGUAUACAGUGGAUGUGUGGCUGUAGAUAACUUUCUGAAGUUAAUUUAAAAAGGCAAAAGUUAAUAAAUGCUAAAUUGGUCAAAUAUAAA